rnacentral:misc_RNA from 1 species
GAUGAAGAACGCAGCGAAAUGCGAUAAGUAAUGUGAAUUGCAGAAUUCAGUGAAUCAUCGAAUCUUUGAACGCACAUUGCGCCCGGCAGCAAUCUGCCGGGCAUGCCUGUCCGAGCGUCAUUUCUUCCCUCGAGCGCGGCUAGCCCUACGGGGCCUGCCGUCGCCCGGUGUUGGGGCUCUACGGGUGGGGCUCGUCCCCCCCGCAGUCCCCGAAAUGUAGUGGCGGUCCAGCCGCGGCGCCCCCUGCGUAGUAGAUCCUACAUCUCGCAUCGGGUCCCGGCGAAGGCCAGCCGUCGAACCUUUUAUUUUCAUGGUUUGACCUCGGAUCAGGUAGGGUUACCCGCUGAACUUAAGCAUAUCAAUAAGCGGAGGA